rnacentral:rRNA from 1 species
UACGGGGGGGGCAAGCGUUGUUCGGAAUUACUGGGCGUAAAGGGCUCGUAGGCGCCAACUAAGUCAGACGUGAAAUCCCUGGGCUCAACCCAGGAACUGCGUCCGAUACUGGCAGGCUUGAAUCCGGGAGAGGGAUGUGGAAUUCCAGGUGUAGCGGUGAAAUGCGUAGAUAUCUGGAGGAACACCGGUGGCGAAGGCGGCAUCCUGGACCGGUAUGACGCUGAUGCGCGAAAGCCAGGGGAGCAAACGGG